rnacentral:rRNA from 1 species
GACGAACGCUGGCGGCGUGCCUAAUACAUGCAAGUCGAGCGAAUGAUGAAGAAGCUUGCUUCUUCUGAUUUAGCGGCGGACGGGUGAGUAACACGUGGGCAACCUACCUAGUAGAUUGGGAUAACUCCGGGAAACCGGGGCUAAUACCGAAUAAUCCAUUUUGUCACAUGGCAAAAUGCUGAAAGGCGGUUUCGGCUGUCACUACUAGAUGGGCCCGCGGUGCAUUAGCUAGUUGGUGGGGUAACGGCCUACCAAGGCAACGAUGCAUAGCCGACCUGAGAGGGUGAUCGGCCACAUUGGGACUGAGACACGGCCCAAACUCCUACGGGAGGCUG